rnacentral:rRNA from 1 species
UACAGAGGGGGCAAGCGUUGUUCGGAAUUACUGGGCGUAAAGGGCGCGUAGGCGGCCUUCUAAGUUGAACGUGAAAUCCCCGGGCUCAACCCGGGAACUGCGUCCGAUACUGGAAGGCUUGAAUCCGGGAGAGGGAUGCGGAAUUCCAGGUGUAGCGGUGAAAUGCGUAGAUAUCUGGAGGAACACCGGUGGCGAAGGCGGCAUCCUGGACCAGCAUUGACGCUGAGGCGCGAAAGCCAGGGGAGCAAACGGG